UACGGAGGGGGCAAGCGUUGUUCGGAUUUACUGGGCGUAAAGAGUUCGUAGGCGGUUGCGCAAGUCUGGUGUGAAAUCUUCGCCGCUCAACGGGAAGUCGCCACUGGAAACUGCGUAACUUGAGUGUGGUAGAGGCAGACGGAAUUCCUGGUGUAGCGGUGGAAUGUGUAGAUAUCAGGAAGAACAUCAGUGGCGAAGGCGGUCUGCUGGGCCAUUACUGACGCUGAGGAACGAAAGCGUGGGGAGCAAACGGG
rnacentral:rRNA from 1 species